CCUUCUGCUCAGCUUUUGGCACUUGCUUGUGUGCGAAUGCGAUACAUCUCAGGCUGCUGGCAGCCAUUCCUUCAAUUAUCCUGUCACAUUCUUCCUUAUCUGAUUCCUCUAGAGGUUUUACGUUCCCUUCUAGAUCAUAGUAAUGGGAGCACAUUCUUGAAAUCAUUUCAGCAGCACCUUUCCAAUGUGCAUGAAUUGUGCCAUCACUGUUGUUCUUGAUCAGGACACCACUCUUCUUUUUCUCUGAAUUGAAAGCUUCCACAUGUAGAAUGUUGAAAUUUCUUUUGAUUUGAUCCAUCUCCAUAUUCAAUUCCGUAACAGCCCAUGAAAGAAUAGCUUUUUCAGUAGGGCUGCCUGAGAACUCAAAGUUGGAAGAUGGAUCGGAGGACUUGAAAACACUACCUGUAGUGUUUAAUCCAACCCCUUGAUGGAAUAGUUCAAGAACUUUUGCCGAAAUUGAUGUAUGAAUUUCUGCCAUGGCUUUUGCAGUGAAAACAUUGUCUCCAGUGAUCAUCUUGAUCUUCACACCAGCAUUCUGGCAAUCUUCCACAGCUUUCUUCAUGCCAGGUCGACAUGGAUCUUUUAGGCCAAGAAAGCCCAAAAGAAUUAUAGAGUUGUCUGGAACAUUUCCAUGCAUAUGUUCAUGAUCCUCCUGCUCAGCUUUUGGCACUUGCUUGUGUGCGAAUGCAAUACAUCGGAGGCUGCUGGCAGCCAUUCCUUCAAUUAUCCUAUCACAUUCUUCCUUAUCUGAUUCCUCGAGAGGUUUUACGUUCCCUUCUAGAUCAUAGUAAUGGGAGCACAUUCUUGAAAUCAUUUCAGCAGCACCUUUCCAAUGUGCAUGAAUUGUGCCAUCACUGUUGUUCUUGAUCAGGACACCACUCUUCUUUUUCUCUGAAUUGAAAGCUUCCACAUGUAGAAUGUUGAAAUUUCUUUUGAUUUGAUCCAUCUCCAUAUUCAAUUCCGUAACAGCCCAUGAAAGAAUAGCUUUUUCAGUAGGGCUGCCUGAGAACUCAAAGUUGGAAGAUGGAUCGGAGGACUUGAAAACACUACCUGUAGUGUUUAAUCCAACCCCUUGAUGGAAUAAUUCAAGAACUUUUGCUGAAAUUGUUGUAUGACUUUCUGCCUUCACGUGCUGUAUGCCUAAGAAAAACUUUGUGACAGUCAUCUUGUUUAAUGUAAGAGUACCUGUUUUGUCUGUACAGAUGAUGGUUGCAGAGCCCAUAGUCUCACAAGCAGAGAGCUUCCUCACUAUUGCCUUAUCAUCCAUCAUUCUCUUCAUCAGGUAAGCCAGAGUAAGUGUAAUAGCUAAAGGUAAGCCUUCAGGAAUCGCGACAACAACAAUGAUAACAGCAUUAGCAACAAUUCCCACCACAGCAUUGAUCACAUCACCGGAUGAUGUCUUGCUCCGGUUGAAUUUUUUAUUCCCAUUCUCAUCUUUUGUGGUCCCGGUAAAGUAUAGUACCAAUUGGACAACAAAAACCAAGAAGGCAACUAACCAUCCAACUUUAUCAAUUGAUGAAGUGAGCUUUUCGAGUCGUUCUUGGAGAGGGGUGUGCUCGUUAGGGCCACUGCUAAUUUCGCUCAUCAUUUCACCCCAGGUCGUGUUCAUGUUAACCGAUGUCACAAGCAUCAUUCCAUAGCCAUCGACAACCUUAGUGCCAGAAAUCAAGAAUGGAUUUUGGCUGAUAUUAAUCUCUACAUGAUCACUUUCACCUGUCAUGCUAGAUUCAUCCACUUGUAAAGAAUGACCCUGUACCAAAAUCCCAUCAGCAGGGACUUGAUCUCCAAUCUUCAAGCAAAUGACAUCUCCAACCACAAUUUCAAAUAUUGAUAUCUGUUGGCGCCUCCCCUUUCUAACAGCUUCUACUUGAAUAAUUUUGGUCUCUUUAGAAAGCUUAUCAAACUGUCUGGUUUGUCUAAAAUGACUAGUAGACGAAACAGUGACGAAAAGUAACACAGCGACAUAAAUACCCCCUCCAUCACACCAUCCUUCUUUCACUCCAUCCUCCUUAAUUCCCAAUACAAUAGACAGAGCACCCCAGAUCAAAAGUACAAUGAUGGUGGGAUAUUUGAAUGAUUCCCAAACAAAAAUGAAGAAACUCUUAGCAGGUGCCUUACGAUACAUGUUGCUUCCAAAAGCCUCAUGUCUACGUGCAACGUCUUCUGGAUCUCCGCUUACACCAUUAGUUGUAUCAGUUUUGAGAGAAGCAGCAACACCUUGUACACCUCCAAGGUCAGCAAGUUCGUCAGUGUUUUUAUCUUUGACAAGCUUAGCUAGACUUGAGUGAUCAAUGCCUGAGAAAAAAGGGUGGUCUUGAACUACAUCAAUCGCGAUUGUAUCACCAAGUACUUUUGUUGGAUUGUAAGCAGGUGAUCCAUGACUAUAAGAUGGCACAAUGGCAGGUGAUACCUUAUUUUUAAAAGCUCUGGAACAGUAGAUGGUAGCAAACGCUAAGUGCCAUCUUUUUUUGUUGGAGGAUUCAAUUUCUGCUGGAAAAUCAGUUGUAAUAUUGUUCAUGCAGAGAUAACGCAAAUUUUCUUGAAACAUGUUGGAUGGAAAAUGUGUAUAAUAACAAUAAAUUAAAAGGAUAAAAAUAUCAAACAAUUGAUUGAAUGUGUUUUGGAGUGAAGUAGUAAUAAUCCCCUAAAGCUCAACCCGUCCCACACCACCCCAUUGUCAUCUCUACGCGUAAUCAAAUCAAUGAAGUUCUGUUGACUGUACUUCACAGAAAUUUCUACUUCCUGCCUUUGAAAAUGAUACAUUUGGAAUGUAUCUAAUUUUGAGUUUAAUCAGAACUUUACAUGUAAUUAAGUUCUACAAUUUAAUUUUUGGAUAAUUACAACCCUAAACACUUCGGUCAACUACAAAAUGUACACCAUCCAAGAUAUGUAAUUUGAGUUUAAUGGGGGAACUUUACACAAACAAUAUAAUUAGAGUCUUAACUUAAUAUAUAUAUGUUAGCACUUAGCAGUGUAAAAGAUCUUGGCUUUUAUACAGUCAAAUUUUUUUUAUCAGAUAUUACAGCAGAUUAGCAUGUAAUGAUUUCUUAAUUACUGCGAUAUUUCAUUAUUCUGUAGUUAGAAAAACUAUCCAUCUCACAUUAUUUAACAAAAUAAACAAUUUGAUGCACUAAGCUUUUAUUGUGUAUAGAAUUUAGGAAAGGACCAUACCACAUGAGUUUCUUUUUGUUACAAAUUGGUCACACCGACAGAUAACAAUAUGAUCCGUGUGGGGUAGUAUUAAUUAUGAAAUGCAGGGAAAGCAGCCAUUUGUUCGUUUCAAAAUGUGAAAAAACUUAAGAUGGUAGAGACGUAACCAACAAAAAUUGCUUGAGAUUGACCGAUACAUUUGUACUCUUUUAUCUCCAUUUUCACAUUUUUAUCUCUCACUCACCACCCCCACCAGUUCCCCUCAUCUGCACCCCUCUUCUUUUUGUCUUUUUUUUUUUUUUUUUUUUUUUUUUUUUUUACUUUUGUCUUUUUUCAUAUAUUUUUUUUUCACCUAAUGUAGUUCUUUAAAAAUUGAAAUGUGGAAGAUAAAAACAAAAUCCAUUUUUUCGUUUGGUAAUUGAGAAAAGGUUAAAACUAAAAGACAACAAAUCACAUAGUAAUGUAGGGUCCAUACCCAUUAUACAUAAAAUAUAAGGAAAGGUAAAUGCAGGAAAGGUUGAAAGAUUUAUUGCUUAUUGUUAAAGUCAACAAAUGCCGCAACAAACCAAAGCUCACCAUUUAUUUUUCAACUAAAAUCUUACCAAAAAAUCUGCAUAUUUGCAUAUUUGCGAAGGUUGAAUUUUUGGUGUUUUUAUGUUGUUACUAGUGACAUCAUUAGGAGUAGAAUUUUUGGUGUUUUUAUGUUGUCACUAGUGACAUCAUUAGGAGUAGAUUUCUCCUAUAAAUAGAGAGUCCUUACUUAUUUCAAAUACACCAAUUCAUAGAGAAAGAAAAAUAUAGAGAGCUGUGAAGUUUUCAUAGACUAUACAAGUCUUCUAUAAAUGGAGCUCAUUAGCUCAUUUAUAGAAUACACCAAUUCACAGAGAAAAAAAAAUAUAGAGAGCUGUGAGGUUUUCAUAGACUAUACAAGAAAAUAGUCUGUGAAGAAAAAUAGAGUGUGAGCGAUAUUUUAGUAAGGUGAAAAUCAAAAGAGUGUUAUUCCUUUUGAGUGUGUAGUAGUCACUUUGAGUAUUGUAUUCGUGACUACACGAUGUAAAAUUCCUUACUAUAGUGAUAUCAGUUGCUCCUCUUGGCCCGUGAUUUUUCCCUUAUUAAAAAGGGUUUCCACGUAAAAUUCUUGGUAUCAUUAUUUUCCCAUUUUAUUUCUAUCAUUUGGCCAUAUAUAUUUUUGUGUCAGUCCGCCUUUUUUCCCAACAAGUAAAGCAUGCACUACAUACAAAGAAAAUAAUGAGGCUGAUACGAUAAAAUAUAAGUUAAUUUAUUUUAUUUGACUUUUUUUCACAAAAAUUUGGAAACUAUCUGAAUAUUAACGAAAAUACUAGAAUUAGAGAUGAUUGAUUAAGCUAAAUUUAAACAAUUUUUAUAUAUACGUACUUAAAAACAAUUUUUAAGUGCUAAAGUUGAAUUUAGAAAUAAAAAGACAAAAAUGUUGAAGUUGAAAUAAUGUAUUUUUUUUUUUUUUAAAAUGUUAAAUAACUUAUUUGUUAAGAUAACUAAAACGUCUGUAAAAAUUUUAAUAUUCAAAAAUAAACUUAUUAUCCAACAUUUUUAGUAGUAUCAAACAAACUCAAAACACAAAUAAUAGUAUUAGUAAACUAAGUCAAAACUCAAAUUAAUGGCAUUUCAUUCACUUUAGAAUAUAAAUUAAUUAGAUGAAAUUAUUUUUAAUAAAUAUAAAUUAUUUAUUUAACUAGCAUGCAGUAAUUAAUAAUCUGACCAAAAAAAUCAAUUUCCCCAUAACUGCUUAUCCAAAAUUAACAAGCAAACUCAUAAAUAAAAAUAAGAAAAAGAAGAGCUUUUUUCUUCCUUUUUGUAUCGAUUUUAUUUUGUAUGGCAAAUCUAUAAAAUAAAAUGAACUAUUUGUACCAUACAUUAAAAAAAAAUCAAUCAAAAAUUCAAUUUUUUAAUUGUAUUUGGAAGUUGAUUUUAUUAAUAGAUAGAAAAAUGAAAAUAAUAAAAAAUAAAAAAGAAGAGAGAUGAGCGGAUAGGGGAACUGCGUGGGGUGGUGAGUAGGAGGUAAAAGAGUGAAAAUGGACCACAAAUUCAAAUAUCAAAAAUUGAGAAAAUGGACCACAAAGGGAAAGGUUGAACAACACUGUGCGUUCCAGACCUGAUCGAGAAAGAGCGUUAAUAGUUGUGUGUGUCGUACGGGAAACCGAGUUCGCACUCCCAUGUUGCCAACACAACAAAAGGGGCUUUACUUUCAGUAACUUCUUUCACUCGUUCUGUCGUCUCAUUUCAGCUUUCAACCUCACAUAACAAUACCUAGUUUUGAAAUACAGUAAAAUCUUACAAAAUUAAUAUUCAGUUAAUUAAUAAUCUCUCUAAAAUAAUAAUUUUCUCCAAUUCCUACUUGGGACAAGGGAAAAAAUUACCAAUCAUUUCAAUAAGAUAAUAUAAUAUAUUUUCAAAAGACCCAUAUAUAAAUAUAUGAUUCCGUAAAAUAUGAUGCCACAUGUUUUUCCUUUGUGCCAAAGAAUAUGGGUCCCGCGUAUUCUUUUGGCUCAAGUAAUUUUGACAUAUAAAUUGCUCAUUACUACACAUAUCAGCCAUGGUACAUUUGGGAAAAUCUUAGUAGCUAAGUUAGUUGACUAUCUGAACGGCUGAACUCACACCUUGCUGGUGAGAGUUCAAUUCCCUAAUUCCCUCCCAAUUCCGCUUUCUCCACCCCAAUUUUUAUUUUUUUUUUGAAAAACCACGGUACAUUUUACUAAUUUUAUUAUCAAUUGUUAAUGUAAAUAAAUAUUUCAAAUAACACUUUACCUAAAGUGAGAAAUCACUUAUUUUCCUUGAAAAUAUUUUCAGAGAAAACAUUUACUUUGUACCAUAUACAAUUGUCUAUACAAAUGAAGUCUUAAUCACUAUAAUUGACAAUAUUCUUAUCUACUUAUAAGAUAGGAUUAGAGUUCCAAAUUUCUAAAGUAUAAAAACCAAAAAAAUGUUUAAACCUAGAAUUGAAUCCUUAACACUCGAAACUCAGAAGUCUAAUCUUAAGAGGGAAGGUGGCAAACUCAAUUCUCUACUUUUGAACCUAAGUUUUAUUGAAUUUUAAUAUGUGAAUACUGAAAAGAGGUGAAAAAUCGAAAUUUAAUGCUUUUUAAGGUGACCUCAAGUUAAUAUACGAUAAUAAUUAAGUUGGUCAACUUUUUUAUUUUGAUAUGUAAUGAAUUUCAUAAUAUCUAUAGUCUGUGCAAAAGUUAUUGGGUUCUCAUGAACACAUAUUUAUUAUCUAGUGGAGAUCAAAAUAACCAUGAGGGAGGAAGGGUAACGGGAACCUAAUUCAUAGUCCAUUCAUUAUGAUCAUGGAUGGACAGAACCAAUUAGAAGUGCAAAUCACACAACCGAAGCUAACUAGGAAGUAGACCCUCAAAGUCUUCCGAAGAAGCAAGCUUCAACGCUCCCCAAGACAGCAGAGCUAUCAUUGUGGGGAGGUUAAAGAGCAUCCAACGCGCCAUGACUAGGACUCGUGUUAGAGGAGAGAUCUGAUAUUAGGUAGAAGGUGUUUAAAGAAAUUGCAAAUGCCAGUCUAAAGCUUCAAAUUUUUGAACAUAUUAUCAGCUCAAGUAUGUUGACAAUCAUAAACGAAGUACACUAUGGUUUUUAAUAUAAAUAAUGGAAUGUAACAUAAAUCAAUUAAUCAAAACAGAUACUAACUAGCUUAUGCAAAAAACAUAGGUAACACCUAAAUCUACUCAUUUAAACAAGGCUUUCAAGUAAUUCAACCUUAGAUAACUAAAGAAUGGUCUCUCUGGGACAUUUAUGCACUUGACAAGCCAACCAAUUGGCCAAGAUGCAGCUGCAAAUCCAAUGCAAAUUCCCCAUUGCCCCCAAUUCAGCCUCUCUGUAUUUGCAAACUUCUUUAGAAACUCCACCAUCACCACUUGGAGAACCAAUGUUAUUCCGAUGAUCGCCAUGAACAACUUGUUCUUGUGUAUUCCCUUAAAGACAUUCUUCUUCUCCAGGUUUCGCGCGUUGAAUUCAUUGAACACUUGGCAAAGAACAAACGUGUUGAAGAUCAACGUAUCGUUUACUCUCUUGCUGACACCAAAGAUUGAUUCUCCUCUGAAUUGUAAGGUCAGUAAAACAGCAAUCUGAUAUAAGGCCUGAGCCAUUAGAUUUCUCCACAUAAUGUUGGUGAUAAGCGGUGCAGUCCUACCGACUGGUUUCUUCUUCAUGAGUUCCUCGGUUGGCUUCUCUGUCGUCAGUGCCCUGAAUCCCCAUAGAAAGUCCUAUAUCUGCUUCCUUUAAAGCUGGUGCAUCGUUCGUUCCAUCACCUGUGACCGCGACCACAUGACCUUUCUUUCUCAAGCACUGCACCAUUAGAAGUUUGUCAAAAGGGGAUGAUCUUGCCAUCACACGUAUCUUCUCCACUCUCUCCAUCCGUACUUCAUCUGUUAGGUUGCGAAAUUCUUCACCUUCUAUGACUGCUCCUUCAUCUACUUCCUGAUUAGGAUGAAGAAUUCCACAUUCUGUUGCUAUGGCUUUUGCAGUGAACACAUUGUCUCCAGUGAUCAUCUUGAUGUUCACACCAGCACUUUGGCAAGCUUCCACUGCUUUCUUCACACCUGGUCGACAUGGAUCUUUUAGGCCAACAAAGCCCAAAAGAAUGAAAGAGUUGUCUGGAACAUUUCCAUGCAUAUGUUCAUUAUCCUUCUGCUCAGCUUUUGACACUUGCUUGUGUGCGAAUGCAAUACAUCUCAGGCUGCUGGCAGCCAUUCCUUCAAUUAUCCUGUCACAUUCUUCCUUAUCUGAUUCCUCUAGAGGUUUUACGUUCCCUUCUAGAUCAUAGUAAUGGGAGCACAUUCUUGAAAUCAUUUCAGCAGCACCUUUCCAAUGUGCAUGAAUUGUGCCAUCACUGAUGUUCUUGAUCAGGACACCGCUCUUCUUUUUCUCUGAAUUGAAAGCUUCCAC
rnacentral:lncRNA from 1 species